GACGAACGCUGGCGGCGUGCUUAACACAUGCAAGUCGAACGGAAAGGCCCUGCUUUUGUGGGGUGCUCGAGUUGCGACCGGGUGAGUAACACGUGAGUAACCUGCCCUUGACUUUGGGAUAACUUCAGGAAACUGGGGCUAAUACCGGAUAGGAGUUCCUGCUGCAUGGUGGGGGUUGGUAGGUUUCGGCGGUUGGGGAUGGACUGGCGGCUUAUCAGCUUGUUCGUGGGGUAGUGGCUUACCAAGGCUUUGACGGGUAGCCGGGCUGAGAGGGGCACAGGACACAUUGGGACUGGGCUACGGCCCAGACCCGUACGGGAGGCAGCAGUGGGGAAUAGUGCACAAUGGGCGGAAGCAUGAUGCAGCACAGCAGCGUGCGGGAUGACGGCCUGCGGGUUGUGAACCACUGUCGCCUGUGACGAGGCGUGAGUGACGGUAAUGGGUAAAGAAGCACCGGCUAACUACGUG
rnacentral:rRNA from 1 species